rnacentral:rRNA from 1 species
ACGGCUCAGUAACACGUAUCCAACUGCCGAUAACUCCGGAAUAGCCUUUCGAAAGAAAGAUUAAUACCGGAUAGUAUACGAAUAUCGCAUGAUAUUUUUAUUAAAGAAUUUCGGUUAUCGAUGGGGAUGCGUUCCAUUAGUUUGUUGGCGGGGUAACGGCCCACCAAGACUACGAUGGAUAGGGGUUCUGAGAGGAAGGUCCCCCACAUUGGAACUGAGACACGGUCCAAACUCCUACGGGAGGCAGCAGUGAGGAAUAUUGGUCGAUGGGCGCAGGCCUGAACCAGCCAAGUAGCGUGAAGGAUGAAGGCUCUAUGGGUCGUAAACUUCUUUUAUAUGGGAAUAAAGUAUUCCACGUGUGGAAUUUUGUAUGUACCAUAUGAAUAAGGAUCGGCUAACUCCGUGCCAGCAGCCGCGGUAAUACGGAGGAUCCGAGCGUUAUCCGGAUUUAUUGGGUUUAAAGGGAGCGUAGGUGGAUUGUUAAGUCAGUUGUGAAAGUUUGCGGCUCAACCGUAAAAUUGCAGUUGAAACUGGCAGUCUUGAGUACAGUAGAGGUGGGCGGAAUUCGUGGUGUAGCGGUGAAAUGCUUAGAUAUCACGAAGAACUCCGAUUGCGAAGGCAGCUCACUAGACUGUUACUGACACUGAUGCUCGAAAGUGUGGGUAUCAAACAGGAUUAGAUACCCUGGUAGUCCACACAGUAAACGAUGAAUACUCGCUGUUUGCGAUAUACAGUAAGCGGCCAAGCGAAAGCAUUAAGUAUUCCACCUGGGGAGUACGCCGGCAACGGUGAAACUCAAAGGAAUUGGCGG